rnacentral:misc_RNA from 1 species
GAUGAAGAACGUAGCGAAAUGCGAUACGUAACGUGAAUUGCAGAAUUCAGUGAAUCAUCGAAUCUUUGAACGCACAUUGCGCCCGCCAGCACUCUGGCGGGCAUGCCUGUUCGAGCGUCAUUUCAACCAUCAAGCCCCAGGCUUGCGUUGGAGCCCUGCGGCUGCCGCAGCCUCCUAAAAGCAGUGGCGGGCUCGCUAUCACACCGAGUGCAGUAGAUUACUCUUCGCUCAGGGCGUGCAGCGGGUUCCGGCCGUGAAACCCCCUACUUUUAAAGGUUGACCUCGGAUCAGGUAGGAAUACCCGCUGAACUUAAGCAUAUCAAUAAGCGGAGGA